GGGCAGGGGCGGCGUGCUUACACAUGCAGUCGAACGAUGAUCCCAGCUUGCUGGGGGAUUAGUGGCGAACGGGUGAGUAACACGUGAGUAACCUGCCCUUGACUCUGGGAUAAGCCUGGGAAACUGGGUCUAAUACCGGAUACGACCAUCUGGCGCAUGUCAUGGUGGUGGAAAGCUUUUGUGGUUUUGGAUGGACUCGCGGCCUAUCAGCUUGUUGGUGGGGUAAUGGCCUACCAAGGCGACGACGGGUAGCCGGCCUGAGAGGGUGACCGGCCACACUGGGACUGAGACACGGCCCAGACUCCUACGGGAGGCAGCAGUGGGGAAUAUUGCACAAUGGGCGCAAGCCUGAUGCAGCGACGCCGCGUGAGGGAUGACGGCCUUCGGGUUGUAAACCUCUUUCAGUAGGGAAGAAGCGAAAGUGACGGUACCUGCAGAAGAAGCGCCGGCUAACUACGUGCCAGCAGCCGCGGUAAUACGUAGGGCGCAAGCGUUAUCCGGAAUUAUUGGGCGUAAAGAGCUCGUAGGCGGUUUGUCGCGUCUGCUGUGAAAGACCGGGGCUCAACUCCGGUUCUGCAGUGGGUACGGGCAGACUAGAGUGCAGUAGGGGAGACUGGAAUUCCUGGUGUAGCGGUGAAAUGCGCAGAUAUCAGGAGGAACACCGAUGGCGAAGGCAGGUCUCUGGGCUGUAACUGACGCUGAGGAGCGAAAGCAUGGGGAGCGAACAGGAUUAGAUACCCUGGUAGUCCAUGCCGUAAACGUUGGGCACUAGGUGUGGGGGACAUUCCACGUUUUCCGCGCCGUAGCUAACGCAUUAAGUGCCCCGCCUGGGGAGUACGGCCGCAAGGCUAAAACUCAAAGGAAUUGACGGGGGCCCGCACAAGCGGCGGAGCAUGCGGAUUAAUUCGAUGCAACGCGAAGAACCUUACCAAGGCUUGACAUGAACCGGAAAGACCUGGAAACAGGUGCCCCGCUUGCGG
rnacentral:rRNA from 1 species